CAGCCGCCGCGGUAAAACCAGCACCUCAAGUGGUCAGGAUGAUUAUUGGGCCUAAAGCAUCCGUAGCCGGCUCUGUAAGUCCUCGGUUAAAUCUGUACGCUUAACGUACAGGCUGCCGGGAAUACUGCAUAGCUAGGGAGUGGGAGAGGUAGACGGUACUCGGUAGGAAGGGGUAAAAUCCUUUGAUCUAUUGAUGACCACCUGUGGCGAAGGCGGUCUACCAGAACACGUCCGACGGUGAGGGAUGAAAGCUGGGGGAGCAAACCGGAUUAGAUACCCGGGUAGUCCCAGCUGUAAACGAUGCAGACUCGGUGAUGGACUAGCUUCAUGCUAGUCCAGUGCCGCAGGGAAGCCGUUAAGUUUGCCGCCUGGGAAGUACGUACGCAAGUAUGAAACUUAAAGGAAUUGGCGGGGGAGCAC
rnacentral:rRNA from 1 species